rnacentral:rRNA from 1 species
UCCAGACUCCUACGGGAGGCAGCAGUGGGGAAUAUUGCACAAUGGGCGAAAGCCUGAUGCAGCAACGCCGCGUGAAGGAAGAAGGGUUUCGGCUCGUAAACUUCUUUCAACAGGGACGAAAGAAAUGACGGUACCUGAAUAAGAAGCCCCGGCUAACUACGUGCCAGCAGCCGCGGUAAUACGUAGGGGGCAAGCGUUAUCCGGAAUUACUGGGUGUAAAGGGUGAGUAGGCGGCAUGGUAAGCCAGAUGUGAAAGCCUUGGGCUUAACCCGAGGAUUGCAUUUGGAACUAUCAAGCUAGAGUACAGGAGAGGAAAGCGGAAUUCCUAGUGUAGCGGUGAAAUGCGUAGAUAUCACGCAGAACCCCGAUUGCGAAGGCAGCCUUCCGGCGCCCUACUGACGCUGAGGCACGAAAGUGCGGGGAUCGAACAGGAUUAGAUACCCCCGUAGC